GCAGUGGGUACGGGCAGACUAGAGUGCGGUAGGGGAGAUUGGAAUUCCUGGUGUAGCGGUGGAAUGCGCAGAUAUCAGGAGGAACACCGAUGGCGAAGGCAGAUCUCUGGGCCGAACUGACGCUGAGGAGCGAAAGGGUGGGGAGCAAACAGGCUUAGAUACCCUGGUAGUCCACCCCGUAAACGUUGGGAACUAGUUGUGGGGCCGUGACGCAGCUAACGCAUUAAGUUCCCCGCCUGGGGAGUACGGCCGCAAGGCUAAAACUCAAAGGAAUUGACGGGGACCCGCACAAGCGGCGGAGCAUGCGGAUUAACUCGAUGCAACGCGAAGAACCUUACCAAGGCUUGACAUACAGGUGGUGCAUGGUUGUCGUCAGCUCGUGUCGUGAGAUGUUGGGUUAAGUCCCGCAACGAGCGCAACCCUCGUUCUAUGUUGCAACUCAUGGGAUACUGCCGGGGUCAACUCGGAGGAAGGUGGGGAUGACGUCAAAUCAUUAUGCCCUUAUGUCUUGGGCUUCACGCAUGCUACAAUGGCCGGUACAAAGGGCUGCAAUACCGUAAGGUGGAGCGAAUCCCAAAAAGCCGGUCCCAGUUCGGAUUGAGGUCUGCAACUCGACCUCAUGAAGUCGGAGUCGCUAGUAAUCGCAGAUCAGCACGCUGCGGUGAAUACGUUCCCGGGUCUUGUACACACCGCCCGUC
rnacentral:rRNA from 1 species